rnacentral:lncRNA from 1 species
UGAGGCUUCCCAGUUGUCCCAGACCUCUCACCAGAUAUUGUCAAUGUCUCUGGUUACUUCACAUUCCCCUUAGAGGAUUUCAAGGAUUAAGGGAAACUGCCCUAAAAUAAGAUUAUCUUAUCUGUAUCUGCCCUUAUCCCGUAUGGCCACUUCCUUUCUGUUAAGACUUUGGAACAUAAAUUGGUAAGAGUGUGUGUGUGUGUGUGUGCACCCUCCCCUUAGUCACUAAAUGUUGUAUUUGGUGUCAUCACUGGGGUUGGCCUCACCCCCAGCCCCCACCUCCCCUCAGUUAUAUUUGGAAGGAACAUCUGGAAGCUGAAGAAAAAAAUGCUGAGGACCCCUGUGUAGAGACAGGCUAGACUUUGUGCCACUGAAGGAAUUGUGUUAAUGGAAUUUACCCAGUUUUCUCCUAACUCCAACUGGUCCUGCUCGGUAGUUAAAGAGAUCUGAGCUGAGGGCAGAGUUACCCCAGAUAUAGUUCCCUGGUUUCCCAGAAGCACACAGCCAAGUAGCCAAGGAUCCUUGAAGUGAGGGGGAAGCUUAAAGUUUGGACCAAGUACCUUGAGUGAACGCCAAUAUCUGAAACCUGGGCCAUGAUAUUAGGAAAGAUCUAGGGGCUGAGGGCUCCUCAGGCCCCCAUUAGACUUCUGAAUGGAGACUUCCAGGCAGAAAUUAGAUAAUUGUUGAUGUUUUUGAUGUAGUUACAGUGAGAAUGGACCUAAAAAUUUUUUAAUUGAUGUGACUCUACCUGCAUGAUUGAUCAAAAAAAGAGGAAGUUAGAUUAGGAUGAAAAAAUGAAAGUUUUAAUGACUUCUCUAUAUUUUCUUAAAAAAUUUAGUUACACAUAUAGCACACAAAGACAUUUGCAUGAACUUACUCAAAGUGUAAGACAACGUUACAGUUCCUCUUUACCUCUGUCACCUCCUCCCCAACCCCCCACUCCCUCACACACAAACACCCAGAGGGGAUCUUGAAUCAAAGCAUCUUUUCCAGGGCUCUGCAGUUCUGGAUGCCUAUGCCGAGAUGGAACUUACAUCAGCUUGGGUCUCUGGGCAACCGUGAUGAGCAGAACCUCAUUGGCCACCCACAACAUAUAUGUGGCAGACGUGAGAAAUAAGCUUUGUUGUGUUAAGCAAAAGCAAUAACGAAAACAGCAACAAAUGCACAAACUGGCUUCUGUCAGUUGUGUGUCUUCUCCCUUUCCUAUCUCUGUCUCUGUCUCUCUCCCUCUCUUGGCUCACUCACUUUGGGGGAAGCCGGCUGCCGCCUUGUGAACACACCAGGCAGCUUGUGAGGAGGCUUGGCGGUGAGGAAUUAAAGUAUUUGGCCAACAGCCAGGAGGAAAUUGAGGCCGACAACCACAGGAGUGAGCUGAGAAGCAGAUCUUCCCGCAGCAGUGCCUUCAGCUGACUGCAACCUUACCUUAGGACAAACCUGAGCCUGAACAAUCGAGCUAAGCCACUCCCAGACUCCCGACCCUCAAAAACAGCAGGAAAUAAUAAAUGUGUGUUGUGUAAAGCUACUAAAUUUUAGGAUAACUUUUGUUACUCAGCAAAAAAUAACUAAUACACGCCGGCAGGGCUGCAUGGUGACUUUUGCAGAGCCUUGACCCUUGUGCCUUUGUAGGUGCCUUCCUCCAUAAGCUAUGUUAAAAAUGUUAUGUCGUGACUAUGUUGGUAUAAAGACAAAUAUUAAUAUAAUCAAGGCUGGGUUCAUUAUUAUUAUAUCCAUUUUUUUCUUCUGAUUUUAGACAAAAUUAAAACUUUUUUAGGCCCUGAAGUAUCAUAGGCCCCAGCCUUCUGUGCUCAAUGGAUGUCAGCCCUACACUGGGGAACAACAUAAGAGGGACAUGCAGUCAAGAAUAAGUUAUUAGGGCCGGGUGCGGUGGCUCAUGCCUGUCAUCCCAGCACUUUGGGAGGCCAAGAUGGGUGGAUCACCUGUGGUCAGGAGUUUGAGACCAGCCCGACCAACCUGGUAAAAUCCUGUCUCUACUAAAAACACAAAAAU